GCCGUAAUUCAUCUCUCUCUCUCUCUCUCUCUCUCUCUCUCUCUUUGAAAUUCACACUUUGAAAUUCCGACUAUGAGCGAGCAUGUUGCUGGUGGGUUCGAGAUUGGCGAUGAUUGGAUCUGGCCUUUCUAAGAAGGCGACAACUGAAAAGCAGUACAGCUGGUCUCCUGUUCCCCAUUGGCCGAUUAGCUCGAUUUCGUAAGAAGGACGAGUACGCCGAACGUGUUGGUGUCGUUGCUUGGAUUUAGUUAGCCGCCGAGUUAUGGAAUUGACAAGAAACACAGAGAUGGAUAAUAAGAAGACUAUGAUUGUAUCACUUCACUUUCAGCUUGCGUAAAUGGAUAAGAAAGCCAGAAAACCCCUUCAUCUCAAGAGAAAUGGCUGAAACCAAGGUAGUGGUUCCAGAGUCUGUCUUGAAAAAGAUCAAGAGGCAAGAGGAAUGGGCUCUGGCCAAGAAAGAGGAAACUGUUGCUGCCAAGAAGAAGAGUGUUGAGACCCGUAAGCUUAUCUUCAAGAGAGCUGAGCAGUAUGCCAAAGAGUACGCUGAGAAGGUCAAUCUUUAACAUUCAUCACAAAAGCAAAAGACUUCCUAUAUGGGGAAAGCAAAGCAAGCUCCAUUUCCCUCGUUUCAAGCUCAGCCAUUAACCCUUGAUAUUUUUAAUUAUGUUUUUAGUUUGAUUUUGUAAUACAUUUUUUUGUUAUAUCAUGGUU